AACGAACGCUGGCGGCAGGCCUAACACAUGCAAGUCGAGCGCCCCGCAAGGGGAGCGGCGGACGGGUGAGUAACGCGUGGGAACGUGCCUCUUGCUACGGAAUAGCCCCGGGAAACUGGGAGUAAUACCGUAUAAGCCCCCCAUUUUGGAGAUGGCGGGGGAAAGAUUUAUCGGCAAGAGAUCGGCCCGCGUUGGAUUAGGUAGUUGGUGGGGUAAUGGCCUACCAAGCCGACGAUCCAUAGCUGGUUUGAGAGGAUGAUCAGCCACACUGGGACUGAGACACGGUCCAGACUCCUACGGGAGGCAGCAGUAGGGAAUAUUGGACAAUGGGCGCAAGCCUGAUCCAGCCAUGCCGCGUGAGUGAAGAAGGCCCUCGGGUUGUAAAGCUCUUUUGUUGGGGAAGAAAAGCAGUUGGUUAAUACCCGAUUGUUCUGACGGUACCCAAGGAAUAAGCACCGGCUAACUUCGUG
rnacentral:rRNA from 1 species